rnacentral:rRNA from 1 species
AACGAACGCUGGCGGCAGGCUUAACACAUGCAAGUCGAGCGCCCCGCAAGGGGAGCGGCAGACGGGUGAGUAACGCGUGGGAAUCUACCCAUCUCUACGGAAUAACGCAUGGAAACGUGUGCUAAUACCGUAUACGUCCUUCGGGAGAAAGAUUUAUCGGAGAUGGAUGAGCCCUCGUUGGAUUAGCUAGUUGGUGGGGUAAAGGCCUACCAAGGCGACGAUCCAUAGCUGGUCUGAGAGGAUGAUCAGCCACACUGGGACUGAGACACGGCCCAGACUCCUACGGGAGGCAGCAGUGGGGAAUAUUGGACAAUGGGGGCAAGCCUGAUCCAGCCAUGCCGCGUGAGGGAUGAAGGCCCUAGGGUUGUAAAGCUCUUUCACCGGUGAAGAUAAUGACGGUAACCGGAGAAGAAGCCCCGGCUAACUCCGUGCCAGCCGCCGCGGUAAAAC